rnacentral:rRNA from 1 species
CGAGUGGCGGACGGGUGAGUAAUGUCUGGGAAACUGCCUGAUGGAGGGGGAGUAACUACUGGAAACGGUAGCUAAUACCGCAUAACGUCGCAAGACCAAAGAGGGGGACCUUCGGGCCUCUUGCCAUCGGAUGUGCCCAGAUGGGAUUAGCUAGUAGGUGGGGUAACGGCUCACCUAGGCGACGAUCCCUAGCUGGUCUGAGAGGAUGACCAGCCACACUGGAACUGAGACACGGUCCAAACUCCUACGGGAGGCAGCAUG